GUUGGUGUCUAUAGAGAUGAGGGUCCACCCGUUCCCAUCCCGAACACGGUAGUUAAGCUCAUUAUCGCCGACAAUACUUGGAGGGCAGCCUCCCGGGAAAAUAGGACGAUGCCAACU
rnacentral:rRNA from 1 species